UGAGGAAUAUUGGUCAAUGGGCGGAAGCCUGAACCAGCCAUCCCGCGUGAAGGAAGAAGGCCUUAUGGGUUGUAAACUUCUUUUCUGUUUGAAGAAUAAGCUUGUUGUGACAAGUGAUGCCGGUAGGACAGGAAUAAGCAUCGGCUAACUCCGUGCCAGCAGCCGCGGUAAUACGGAGGAUGCAAGCGUUAUCCGGAUUUAUUGGGUUUAAAGGGUGCGCAGGUGGUUUAAUAAGUCAGUGGUGAAAGUCUGCCGCUUAACGGUAGGAUUGCCAUUGAUACUGUUGGACUUGAAUAUGGAUGAGGUAGGCGGAAUGUGUAGUGUAGCGGUGAAAUGCUUAGAUAUUACGCAGAACACCGAUUGCGAAGGCAGCUUACUAAUCCAUGAUUGACGCUGAGGCACGAAAGCGUGGGGAUCAAACAG
rnacentral:rRNA from 1 species